UGGGGAAUCUUGCGCAAUGGGCGGAAGCCUGACGCAGCAACGCCGCGUGUGGGAAGACGGCCUUCGGGUUGUAAACCACUUUCAGGGGGGACGAAGCUUCCGAGGUUAAUAGCCUACGGGGUGACGGUACCCCCAGAAGAAGCCCCGGCUAACUACGUGCCAGCAGCCGCGGUAAUACGUAGGGGGCGAGCGUUGUCCGGAAUCAUUGGGCGUAAAGCGCGUGUAGGCGGCUCGGUCAGUCUGGUGUGAAACCUUGGGGCUCAACCCCAAGCCUGCACUGGAUACUGCUGAGCUUGAGUCCGGGAGGGGAGAGCGGAAUUCCUAGUGUAGCGGUGAAAUGCGCAGAUAUUAGGAAGAACACCGGUGGCGAAGGCGGCUCUCUGGAACGGUACUGACGCUGAGACGCGAAAGCGUGGGGAGCGAACAGG
rnacentral:rRNA from 1 species